ensembl:snoRNA
GAUUCACUCUGCACCCAGCUGCAGCCCCAAGUGGGUGCUUUUCUGUAUUCCAUAGAAAUAUCCCCAAGUGUUGUGACCACCUUAACCUGUCAAGGGCGAUGCAACCUUCUGGGACACAGGG